rnacentral:rRNA from 1 species
UACGGGGGGAGCAAGCGUUGUUCGGAUUUACUGGGCGUAAAGGGCGCGUAGGCGGUCAGCACAAGUCAAUUGUGAAAUCUCCGAGCUUAACUCGGAAAGGUCAACUGAAACUGUGCGACUAGAGUGCGGAAGGGGCAACUGGAAUUCUUGGUGUAGCGGUGAAAUGCGUAGAUAUCAAGAGGAACACCUGCGGCGAAGGCGGGUUGCUGGGCCGAUACUGACGCUGAGGAGCGAAAGCGUGGGGAGCGAACAGG